GUCUACGGUCAUACCACCCUGAACGCACCCGAUCUCGUCAGAUCUCGCAAGCUAUGCAGGGCGGGCCUGGUUAGUACUUGGACGGGAGACCACCUGGGAAUACCUGGUGCUACAGGCU
rnacentral:rRNA from 1 species